rnacentral:lncRNA from 1 species
GUCAGAGGUUUCUAUGAAGAUUUUUUCUCAGUUUGUUGUUUCCCUUCUGAUUUUAGUUACAUUGGUUUUGUUUGUGCAAAAGCAUUUUAAUUUGAUGUAGUCAAAAUUACUUAUUUUACAUUUUGUGAUUCUUUCUAUGUCUUGCUUGGUUUUAAAGUCUUUCCCCUCCCAAAGGUCUGACAUUUAUACUAUUCUGUAUUAACCCAAUUUACUUAUGGUUUCCUUCUUUAUGUUUAAGUCACUCACUCAUUUUGAAUUUAUCUUGGUGUAAGGUGUGAGGUGUUGAACAAUUCCUAGUCUCUCCCACACUGUCUUCCAAUUUUCCCAGCAGUUUUUAUCGAAGAGUGGAUUUUUGCCCCAAAAGCUGGGAUUUUGGGUUUAUCAUAUACUGUCUUGCUGAGGUCGCUUUCCCCCAGUCUAUUCCACUGAUCUUCCUUUCUGUUUCUUAGCCAGUACCAAAUUGUUUUGAUGAUUGCUGCUUUGUAAUAUAGUUUAAGGUCAGGGACUGCAAGGCCCCCAUCAUAUGUGUUUUUUUUUUUUCAUUACUUCCCUGGAUAUCCUUGAUCUUUUGUUGUUCCAAAUGAAUUUUGUUAUGUUUUUUUCUAAAUCAGUGAAGAAGUAUUUUGGUAGUUCAAUGGGUAUGGCACUAAAUAGAUAAAUAAGUUUGGGUAGGAUGGUCAUUUUUAUUAUAUUGGCUCGUCCUAUCCAUGAGCAGUUAAUGUUUUUCAUUAUUUCCCUGGAUAUCCUUGAUCUUUUGUUCUUCCAAAUGAACUUUGUUAUGGUUUUUUCUAAAUCAGUGAAGAAGUAUUUUGGUAGUUCAAUGGGUAUGGCACUAAAUAGAUAAAUAAGUUUGGGUAGGAUGGUCAUUUUUAUUAUAUUGGCUCGUCCUAUCCAUGAGCAGUUAAUGUUUUUUCCAUUUGUUCAGGUCUAGUUUUAGUUGUGUGGCGAGUGUUUUGUAGUUGUGUUCGUAUAGUUCCUGUGUUUGUCUUGGGAGAUAGAUUCCUAGGUAUUUUAUUUUGUCUAAGGUGAUUUUGAAUGGGAUUUCUCUUUCUAGUUCUUGCUGCUGAGCUGUGUUGGAGAUAUAUAGAAAAGCUGAUGAUUUAUGUGGGUUUAUUUUGUAUCCUGCAACUUUGCUAAAGUUGUUGAUUAUUUCAAUUAGCUUUUUGGUUGAAUCUCUAG